GUUAAGAUCCAAGCGUUGUUCCUUGACAAUGGAUCUGGAUUUCCGGAUGCAACCUUCUCCUUUUUCUUUUUGGCCUUCGGCUGUUGAUUGUCUCGCCAGAAGCCAGCAAGUAGCGCAGCCAGCGAGCAUCAAUCAAUCAGCUCACUAGAAAGGAAGGAAUAAAAAAAAAGCCAAGAGAGGAGCAAACCUUUGAGCUUGGCUGCUGCCUACAGCACGACACAUUUAUAAAGCGACCUUCGUACGCGUGUAUUCCGCUUCUUGCUUUGUUGUUUGCCUUUACUUGCUUGCCUUGGUGCUCGCUCACUCGCUCCCUUCCACUAGAGGAGAGUCCCUGUGAGAGAAGGAGAGCGUAAGUUAGCAGUCGCAGUGAGUGAGAAACAACAAAAAGGAAAGAGAACUUCUUGCCUAGAUUGCAUUGUCGGUUUCAUUCCUGUGAGAAGCGACCCGGUCUCUCGGCUCCACUUUUCUCUCAUCAUCAUCACCGUAGCCUCGUCAUGGACUUGCGCCUCAACCAACUUU
rnacentral:lncRNA from 1 species